UACGGAGGGUGCGAGCGUUGUCCGGAAUCACUGGGCGUAAAGGGCGCGUAGGCGGGCUGUCAAGUCUGGGGUGAAAUCCCGCGGCUCAACCGUGGAACUGCCUCAGAUACUGACGGCCUCGAGGGAGGUAGGGGCGAGCGGAACUGUGAGUGGAGCGGUGAAAUGCGUUGAUAUUCACAGGAACUCCGGUGGCGAAGGCGGCUCGCUGGACCUCUUCUGACGCUGAGGCGCGAAAGCCAGGGGAGCAAACGGG
rnacentral:rRNA from 1 species